rnacentral:rRNA from 1 species
AUGACAAGCAAGGGUGACAUGUCACCUAACCUUGAGAAAAAAGAAGCAAAUGGGGUGACACAUAUCACCCAGAGGAGCAGGGGUGGUGGUGGCUGGGCUGGAUUUCAUGAUGCAGGAUGGAUGGCAGGGGAAGAAGGGAAAAAAAAGAAAAGAAAAGAAAAGAAAAGAAAAGGUGAAACAUACAAAAGUAAAAAAAAUUGGCAGUUUUGCCCCUGGGGUGGUGCAGUGCAGGCAGUACAAGUAAAGACAGACAGGCAGGCGAUGAGGGAGUCGGAGCCACCAAAUAGAUCCCCCCCCCUACCCUCCCCCCCCUCUGCUCCGCUCUGCCUCUGCUUCCCCUCCCACCGACUCCCCCCUCCAUUGAUGGCCGCCACCAAGAACCCCCCAACCCCCACCUGA